rnacentral:rRNA from 1 species
UACGAAGGGGGCUAGCGUUGCUCGGAAUCACUGGGCGUAAAGCGCACGUAGGCGGAUCUUUAAGUCAGGGGUGAAAUCCCGAGGCUCAACCUUGGAACUGCCUUUGAUACUGGGGAUCUCGAGUCCGGAAGAGGUUGGUGGAACUCCGAGUGUAGAGGUGAAAUUCGUAGAUAUUCGGAAGAACACCAGUGGCGAAGGCGGCCAACUGGUCCGGUACUGACGCUGAGGUGCGAAAGCGUGGGGAGCAAACAGG